rnacentral:rRNA from 1 species
UACGGAGGGGCAAGCGUUGUUCGGAAUUACUGGGCGUAAAGGGCGCGCAGGCGGCUGCUCAAGUCAGGCGUGAAAGGCCUGGGCUCAACCCGGGAAUUGCGCUUGAGACUGGGCUGGCUUGAGUGCGGGAGAGGAUGGUGGAAUUCCCAGUGUAGAGGUGAAAUUCGUAGAUAUUGGGAAGAACACCGGUGGCGAAGGCGGCCAUCUGGACCGCAACUGACGCUGAGGCGCGAAAGCGUGGGAGCAACAGG